CUUAAAAUGGAUAUCUAGGAACUAAGAGAUGACAAUGUGGUAAUCAACAAAAUGUUUCGAGGAGUUGAAAAUAAGCAUUGACUUGAAAAUUAUCGAGCAGGGCAACCUUUCGAAAAAUAAAGCAAAAGUAAUUUCCAUAAUAGUAGCAAGAGAAAUGGGAGCAUCCUAAUCUUGAAAACGGGAUUAUGGGACAACAAUGCAAGCAUUUAUGAUCCGAGGCAAACUAGUACAUAUAUUGCACCCUAAAUGUUGAAAGUCCAAGAGUAGAAAAUAUCAUUAGCUUACACUCUGAUUCUAAUAGUAUGAAAUACGUGGAAUCCUGUGUGAAUCAGCAAAAACCACUUCGCUAAGCUAUAUACUUUAAGGCGACAAAUAGCGAAGUAGUACCACAAUGGAAGAUGAAAAAAAUUCUUAUUAGGGAGUGAAAUAGAGCAUUAAACCUUAAG
rnacentral:rRNA from 1 species